rnacentral:rRNA from 1 species
AAUAGAUACCCUGGUAGUCCACGCCGUAAACGAUGAGUGCUAAGUGUUAGGGGGUUUCCGCCCCUUAGUGCUGCAGCUAACGCAUUAAGCACUCCGCCUGGGGAGUACGGUCGCAAGACUGAAACUCAAAGGAAUUGACGGGGGCCCGCACAAGCGGUGGAGCAUGUGGUUUAAUUCGAAGCAACGCGAAGAACCUUACCAGGUCUUGACAUCCCAUUGACCACUAUGGAGACAUAGUUUUCCCUUCGGGGACAACGGUGACAGGUGGUGCAUGGUUGUCGUCAGCUCGUGUCGUGAGCUGUUGGGUUAAGUCCCGCAACGAGCGCAACCCUUGUUCUUAGUUGCCAUCAUUUAGUUGGGCACUCUAAGGAGACUGCCGGUGACAAACCGGAGGAAGGUGGGGAUGACGUCAAAUCAUCAUGCCCCUUAUGACCUGGGCUACACACGUGCUACAAUGGACGGUACAAACGGUUGCCAACCCGCGAGGGGGAGCUAAUCCGAUAAAACCGUUCUCAGUUCGGAUUGUAGGCUGCAACUCGCUACA